CCUACGGGGGGCUGCAGUGGGGAAUAUUGGACAAUGGGCGAAAGCCUGAUCCAGCCAUGCCGCGUGUGUGAAGAAGGCCUUCGGGUUGUAAAGCACUUUCAGUGGGGAAGAAAGCCUUGGGGCUAAUACCCUCGAGGAAGGACAUCACCCACAGAAGAAGCACCGGCUAACUCCGUGCCAGCAGCCGCGGUAAUACGGAGGGUGCGAGCGUUAAUCGGAAUUACUGGGCGUAAAGCGCGCGUAGGCGGUCUGGUAAGCCGGUUGUGAAAGCCCCGGGCUCAACCUGGGAACGGCAUCCGGAACUGUCAGGCUAGAGUGCAGGAGAGGAAGGUAGAAUUCCCGGUGUAGCGGUGAAAUGCGUAGAGAUCGGGAGGAAUACCAGUGGCGAAGGCGGCCUUCUGGACUGACACUGACGCUGAGGUGCGAAAGCGUGGGUAGCAAACAGGAUUAGAUACCCGAGUAGUC
rnacentral:rRNA from 1 species